UGCCAAGCAGUACCAUUUCUGCCGCCGUGAUCCGGACUGGCGAACCCCGGGCCACUGAAGCGGAACGUGCACACUUAACUGUCGCGCCACCGGGCCAGCCCCUGGGUUUUCACUUCUGAGAGGUUGACGCAGGUGCUUUCGCAGUUCACAGGCCUCUUCACUUAGCUGCUGAUUCAUCUCACUGAAAUGGGGCAGCAGCCAGGCCUGCCACUGAUCCAUCUUCCCCUGGAUCCUGCCUCAGCUCCUUUCACUUCUAUACCAGGAACUGCUGUCAGGCAAGGAGUUUCCUCCAUUCUGCCAUAUUGUGGUUGAUCAAAAAUCUAUUUCAUGCAAGCAAUCUAAAGGUCACUGAAGCCAUGAAAAGUGAAACUGAAGAUAAGGGGGAACUACUGCAUCUCUGGAAGUUGAAGAUAUUGUUUUACAGAUGUCUUUGCUGUCUGAUUAGAAGAAUAUAGCUGUAUAUUUACUUGUGCAUUCAAUCUGUUAUGGAAGAGUGUCUCCCAUUGGCCAAACAUCAUGGGAAACUACGGGACAAUGGAGCCAAGUGAUGUAAUCCAUAUGGGUCCAACUUGGAUAUAAAGCCAUCAGAAGAGCAGGAAGUGGAUAAGGGAGGGCAAACAGGAGAUACCUAGCACAUCCAUUUCAUUUCCUUUGCUCAUUUGUAUUGUCUUUUUAAUGGAAUAUGGAAGCUUUCUUUUAUAUUGGGAUGGAUCAAUCCUUUGUUAACUAUGUAGCAUUUUCUCCCAGUUAACAACUUGCAUAUGAAUUUUUUUUUACAAUAUCUUUCAUAAUAUUGACUUGUUUUUAUAUUUUGCGUGCUCAAAACUUCAUUUUCUUCUUUUGGUUCAGUGCCCUCUAUUCCAAAUUUCUAUACUUGGAAUUUUGGGAAAUAGUCUUCCAAUAAUUUAAUCUCUUUUCUUAAGUCUCUGGUAUACAUUUACUU
rnacentral:lncRNA from 1 species